GUAGGAUAAUUGAACCUGUUCCUCUGAAUUGCAAUCGCUUACUCUUCUCUCUGCAUAAAGAACUUAGGAAGUAAGGACACCCAUCUGCCCUGAGUAGUGAAAGAUGAGAUGACCAGAUCUGUACGCAGUUUUCAAGAUGUGGGUGUACCAUGGAUUUAUAUAAGGGCAAUAAGAUAUUCUCCAUCUUAUUCUCUAUCGCUCCAAGGCCAGUCAGUGAGAGACUGCUGCUGAAGAGUGAGCUGUGGAAGAGAGAUGCUAUGCAGGCUGAUAUGGGUGGUGAUUUUCGCUCUCUGUCUCUCUCAGGCUCCCAGGGACUAGCCUCAGUGAUUUUGUUUUGAGGACUUAGUUUGGGAGCUCUGAACCAUGGUCCUGAGGUGAGGGUUUUAUGAACUGUGGUUACAAUUGCUUCUUCCAUUAAAUAAAGUCUCUGGGAAUAUGCU